rnacentral:rRNA from 1 species
AACGAACGCUGGCGGCAGGCUUAACACAUGCAAGUCGAGCGCCCCGCAAGGGGAGCGGCAGACGGGUGAGUAACGCGUGGGAAUCUACCUUUUGCUACGGAAUAACUCAGGGAAACUUGUGCUAAUACCGUAUGUGCCCUUCGGGGGAAAGAUUUAUCGGCAAAGGAUGAGCCCGCGUUGGAUUAGCUAGUUGGUGGGGUAAUGGCCUACCAAGGCGACGAUCCAUAGCUGGUCUGAGAGGAUGAUCAGCCACAUUGGGACUGAGACACGGCCCAAACUCCUACGGGAGGCAGCAGUGGGGAAUAUUGGACAAUGGGCGCAAGCCUGAUCCAGCCAUGCCGCGUGAGUGAUGAAGGCCCUAGGGUUGUAAAGCUCUUCCACCGGUGAAGAUAAUGACGGUAACCGGAGAAGAAGCCCCGGCUAACUUCGUGCCAGCCGCCGCCGUAACAC